rnacentral:rRNA from 1 species
GACGAACGCUGGCGGCGUGCCUAACACAUGCAAGUCGAGCGAUGAAGUUCUUCGGAACGGAUUAGCGGCGGACGGGUGAGUAACGCGUGAGCAAUCUGCCUUACACAAAGGGAUAGCCUCGGGAAACUGGGAUUAAUACCAUAUGACACUUGGUAAUCGCAUGAGGACCAAGUCAAAGAUUUUAUCGGUGUAAGAUGAGCUCGCGUCUGAUUAGCUAGUUGGUGGGUAAAGGCCUACCAAGGCGACGAUCAGUAGCCGGCCUGAGAGGGUGAACGGCCACACUGGAACUGAGACACGGUCCAGACUCCUACGGGAGGCAGCAGUGGGAAAUAUUGCACAAUGGGCGCAAGCCUGAUGCAGCGACGCCGCGUGAGCGAAGAAGGUUUUCGGAUCGUAAAGCUCUGUCCUCUGGGAAGAAAAAAUGACGGUACCAGAGGAGGAAGCCCCGGCUAACUACGUG